AGCACAUUUAACUUCUCUUCCUCCACCGUGUUCCUACAAAUGCAGAAAACUCAAAAAGUUCAUUGUGUGAGUUAGUCUAAGAAUGGAGUUCUUCCAAUUAGACAAUCCCAACAAUUAUCACAAACAUUCAGCGACUUUCCAAUUUAGAGAUGAUAAGACAACAUAGGAUAAUAUGGAUAUAAAAAGAGGGUACUGCCUCAUGUUCCUUAGGAUGUUAUUUUUUUCUUCUAAAUUCCAAAUUUGCUGAAAUCAACAAAAAUCCUAUUUAUUUGCCAAAAUAAAGCGCCAUUACUUCAAAAGCCUAAUAACUUGGAUUGGUGUGAAAUUGCAGUAUGUCCAUUUGUGGUUCUCGGGUUUUGACACAGGUAUGAGUUAUACAGACGUUUCCCUGUAUAUUAUAAAGUAUGUACAUGAUAUAUGUGUGUGGUAAAGACUUGGCAGCGCCUGAGGUCCUGAAGCAAGCCUCUACCAAUUCAGCACCAUGGACAGCGCAGACAGCUACUUUAGGAAGAGAAUGAGAGCAUUUCUAUACCGUGGUGCUUUAUUUCUUUCAUGCUUCUUUUCUGUUUUAAAGUAAUCUAUAUCUAUAGAUCCAUAUGAAUACAGUGUCAUGAUUUAUUGGAAAAGCUCUAAGGAUUCUGGUUUCCAUUUAUAGAAACAGAGGUGCUUUAGCAGAAAGAAAUAUGGCUCCAUUCAAGAAAAGGAUGUGGAAAUCAAGAGGCAAAGGGGAAAUGACGGCAAUCUAGGAGAACUGCAUAAGCCAGCUUGUGAGGCAUCACACAAGGUAUGCUGUCAACUCUAACUCACUCUGUAGAAAGAUAAAGGCUUCUUCCUGAAAUCUGAGCCCGAUUUCAGCUUCAGAACCCAUUUUGAGUAUUUUCUUCUCUAGUUUUCAGCUAACAAAUCAUAGGAGUAGAACCUCAGAUUUCUAUAGAGUCAGCCAGCUAGCUCACCUUGUUGGUAUUUGGAACAUCUAGAGGCUGAAGUGAGCUGAAUACUGAUCAGAAUAGAGGAAGAUAAGCCCAUGAUGAUGGAUAGUCUUGGAUUCAUUACUUCACUGUUUUUGUUUGAUGUUUUUCGUAGCUUCAGUCAAGAAACACUUCAGUCCCUGGACCCCAAAGACAAAGAAGGGUAUGAGAGCCCUGGAGCUGUUUGUAUAGAUGGUAUAAUAUGCAAAGAAAGAAAGACAGAAAAGAAGAGAGAGAGGGAGAAAAGAUUGCAGC
rnacentral:lncRNA from 1 species